rnacentral:rRNA from 1 species
AUUGAACGCUGGCGGCAGGCCUAACACAUGCAAGUCGAGCGGAGGAAGGGAGCUUGCUCCUGGAUUCAGCGGCGGACGGGUGAGUAAUGCCUAGGAAUCUGCCUGGUAGUGGGGGAUAACGUCCGGAAACGGGCGCUAAUACCGCAUACGUCCUGAGGGAGAAAGUGGGGGAUCUUCGGACCUCACGCUAUCAGAUGAGCCUAGGUCGGAUUAGCUAGUUGGUGGGGUAAAGGCCUACCAAGGCGACGAUCCGUAACUGGUCUGAGGGGAUGAUCAGUCACACUGGAACUGAGACACGGUCCAGACUCCUACGGGAGGCAGCAGUGGGGAAUAUUGGACAAUGGGCGAAAGCCUGAUCCAGCCAUGCCGCGUGUUUGAAGAAGGUCUUCGGAUUGUAAAGCACUUUAAGUUGGGAGGAAGGGCAGUAAGUUAAUACCUUGCUGUUUUGACGUUACCAACAGAAUAAGCACCGGCUAACUUCGUG